rnacentral:rRNA from 1 species
UCAAGCUACUAAGGGCAUACGGUGAAUGCCUUGGCACUAAGAGCCGAUGAAGGACGUGGUAAGCUGCGAAAAGCUACGGGGAGCCGCAAGCAGGCUUUGAUCCGUAGAUGUCCGAAUGGGGAAACCCACCAUCCGUCAUGGGAUGGUAUCCUUCGGGAGGGGAACCCGGUGAACUGAAACAUCUAAGUAGCCGGAGGAAGAGAAAUCAAACGAGAUGCCCACAGUAGCGGCGAGCGAAGAGGGCAGAGCCUAAACCAGAGAGCUUCGGCUCCCUGGGGUUACGGACUGGCAUAAACCGAGUCAGGCCUAGCCGAAUCACCUGGAAAGGUGAGCCAUAGACCGUGAGAGCCGGGUAGGCGAAAGGCAGAGCAAGGGGGCCAGUAUCCAGAGUACCGCGAAGCACGAGGAAUUUUGCGGGAAGUCGGGGGGACCACCCUCCAAGGCUAAACACUUCUUAGUGACCGAUAGCGCAUAGUACCGUGAGGGAAAGGUGAAAAGAACCGCGGGAGCGGAGUGAAAGAGAACCUGAAACCGUAUGUCUACAAGCAGUCGGAGCGCAAGCGACGGCGUGCCUAUUGAAGAAUGAGCCAACGAGUUACGGGCACCAGCGAGGUUAAGCAGGAAAUGCGGAGCCGUAGGGAAACCGAGUCUGAAAAGGGCGAAUAGUUGGUGUUCGUAGACCCGAAACUGUAGUGAUCUACCCAUGAUCAGGUUGAAGCACGGGUAAAAUCGUGUGGAGGACCGAACCGGUGAGUGUUGAAAAACUUUCGGAUGAAUCGUGGGUAGCGGUGAAAUUCCAAUCGAACGCAGAGAUAGCUGGUUCUCCUCGAAAUAGCUUUAGGGCUAGCCUCAGGCAGUAAGCAUAGGCGGUAGAGCACUGAUCGGGAUAGGGACUGUAAUGGUUACCGAACCCUGUCAAACUACGAAUGGUUAUGCUGCAGAGCCUGGGAGUCAGACUACGAGAGAUAAGUCCCGUUGUCAAAAGGGAAACAGCCCAGACCAUCAGCUAAGGUCCCCAAUGCCAUACUAAGUGGAAAAGGAUGUGGGGUCUCAUAAACAACCAGGAUGUUGGCUCAGAAGCAGCCACCAUUUAAAGAGUGCGUAAUAGCUCACUGGUCGAGAGGCCCUGCGCCGAAGAUUCCCGGGGCUAAAGUAUGGAACCGAAGCUAUGGAUGCAUACUUAGGUAUGCGUGGUAGAGGAGCGUUCCCAUCGGGUUGAAGUCGUCCUGUAAGGGACGGUGGACUGGUGGGAAGUGAGAAUGUUGGCAUGAGUAGCGAAAAGAAUGGUGAGAAUCCAUUCCACCGAAAGCAUAAGGAUUCCUGAGCAACGAUCGUCGUCUCAGGGUAAGUCGGGACCUAAUCCGAGGCAAAGAGCGUAGGAGAUGGACAACUGGUUGAUAUUCCAGUACCGGCAGUGAUCGUUUGAACGAAGGAGUGACGCAGGAAGGCAGGUCCGCACGAGAUUGGUAGAUCGUGUGCAAGCGUAUAGGCUGGUUACCAGGCAAAUCCGGUAACUGAGGCUGAGGCGUGAUGCGGAGGGAACUUGUUCCCGAAGGGAUUGAGCCUACGCUGCCGAGAAAAGCUUCUAGUGAGAAAGCUGCCGCCCGUACCGUAAACCGACACAGGUAUGCGGGGAGAGAAUCCUAAGGUGCGCGGGAGAACCCUCGUUAAGGAACUCGGCAAAAUGUACCCGUAACUUCGGGAUAAGGGUAGCCACAAAGGUGAAGGGACUUGCUCCCGGAGCCCGGUGUGGUCGCAGAGAAGAGGCCCAAGCGACUGUUAACCAGAAACACAGGUGCCUGCGAAAGAGAAAUCUGAAGUAUAGGUGCUGACACCUGCCCAGUGCUGGAAGGUUAAAGAAGGAUGUCCGGGUUCGACCCAAAGCAUUCGACUGAAGCCCCAGUGAACGGCGGCCGUAACUAUAACGGUCCUAAGGUAGCGAAAUUCCUUGUCGGGUAAGUUCCGAC